CAGAAGGGGUCUGAGCAGGGGCUCCAUCGCAUGCAAAAUUCCAAAGAGUAAUCCGGCCUUUAGGUUUCUGAGGUUAUGUCUUCCUUAACCUUAGGAUGUGGGCUCACUGGGAUGAGAUGUUCUGAUGGACCCAAACGCCACACCAUCACCAAGCUGAGAUUAGAAAGACAAGACUCCACAUCCUCUACGCCAGAGGACUCUUGACGCAGGACCACACAUCCCUCCCAUCACCGUGGUCCCAGGUGGUGUAGGCUUAAACUCUGAGCUGCUGCUCAAUGGACGAACAGCGUUCUAACAGUCCAACAGGAAGCAGCAUGACUCUCAACGCACCGUGGAGAACCCCAGCCCCACCCACUGAGGCGGGACGGCAGGUACCUGAGAGAUUGCCGAUGUUUCUGCCGCCAGCCCUGACUCUGCAGAUGGCUGCCGUUCCGCUUUCUCUGAGCUGUUCGUUGAGUUUUCCAUCGAAGACUGGGAGUUUUGCUCGUCAGAAGCAUCUGAGCGAGAAGCAAGACAACAGAAGCUGUUUUCAGACACAUGAGAAGCUGCAGCAGAUGGGCCAGGGCUAACCUCGCACAUUGGAUACUCUCUCACAUGCUCAAAAAAAUGGUGGCCACCUAAAUCUGAGACAGUCAAGCCCAGCUGAACCUCUACCUGCUCUCAGGCAGCCUGCUGGACACUUUUGC
rnacentral:lncRNA from 1 species